rnacentral:rRNA from 1 species
GGAAUAUUGGACAAUGGGCGCAAGCCUGAUCCAGCCAUGCCGCGUGAGUGAAGAAGGCCUUAGGGUUGGAAAGCUCUUUCAAUGGCGAAGAUAAUGACGGUACCCAGCGAAGAAGCUCCGGCUAAAUUCGUGCCAGCAGCCGCGGUAAUACGAAUGGAGCAAGCGUUGUUCGGAAUCACUGGGCUUAAAGCGUAUGUAGGCGGACUAGUAAGUCAGGAGUGAAAUCCCAGAGCUCAACUCUGGAACUGCUCUUGAAACUACUAGUCUAGAAUCCUGGAGAGGUUAGGAGAAUUCCGAGUGUAGAGGUGAAAUUCGCAGAUAUUCGGAGGAAUACCAGUGGCGUAGGCGCCUAACUGGACAGGUAUUGACGCUCAGAUACGAAAGCGUGGGGAGCA